CGCACAUUGCGCCCACCAGUACUCUGGUGGGCAUGCCUGUCCGAGCGUCAUUUCAACCCUCAGGGCCCGUUCGCGGGCCCUGGUGUUGGGGAUCGGCCCCACCGGCCGGCCCCGAAAUACAGUGGCGGCACACCCGCGACCUCCUCUGCGUAGUAGCAAUGCCUCGCAGCUGGAUAGCGGUUGCGCCUCGCCGUAAAACCCCCCACUUCUCAAAGGUUGACCUCGGAUCAGGUAGGAAUACCCGCUGAACUUAA
rnacentral:misc_RNA from 1 species